ACCCUCUUCACCCAACCGUGUCCAAAGCAGGAAGAGAGGAAAGGAGGCAGCCAGCCUCUCCUCAUUUGCCUUUUUCUUAUCUGAAAGGAAACACGUUCCCAGAAGUCCCCAGCAGAGACCGGGCCCAUGGCCAGCUGGAGAAGUCAGCGUCAGUCAGCUGGCAGGAAGGGAGGGCAGCCGACAGGCCAGCCCCCCAAGCCAGGACUCCAGCACUUUCCAAUACUUAGCAAAGGGUAGACAAGAAGAGGGUCAGACCAGCUGAGCUGCCUGGAAGAGCUUUAGACCAACUGAGGCACCUGGAGAGGACACUCUUCCACCUGGGAAGCCGCCUGCAGGCUGUGCAGUGUGCUCUGGGUUCCCAGCUUCGGGAGCUGUCACCCAUACUGGGGUAGGAUUUGGUGAUACAGUCGUCUUUGAGGCAUUUUUGCUCCUGUGGGUAACCCGUCAUCCCAUAUUCCUGUUAGUGACCCCAAUAAAACUCAUCCAUGGUUCACC